GGGUCCAUAGCUCAAUGGUAGAGCGUUUGACUGCAAAUCAAGAGGUCACCAGUUCGAACCUGGUUGUGCCCU
rfam:Ipomoea nil DNA, scaffold: scaffold2036, cultivar: Tokyo-kokei standard.